UAUGUUUUUUUCUGUCUUUAUUUUAAAAUAUCUUAAAAUUACCACGCGUCAAGAGGCUCGUUCGGAAAUUCAUCCGGGAUUAAUUUCACGAAAAGCAGCAAUUAGCGGAAGAAAUAUUGCGUGUUACUUUCUACGUUGUACCGCCUCUACGAUAAUCGAUCAUUUAACGGGUAAAAAAAUGAAUAUUCGAGAUCGGCGAAAUUAUCGUCGAUGCGGUAAAAAUCGCUUUAUGUCUCGCAUAAGAAAGAAAUAAUCUCUAUUAUUUAUUCCUUUCUUUUAUUGCUCUGUAUUUUCCCCAUUUUCUAAAAUAUAUGCAUCGAGCUAACAAAGUUUAUCCUAAUGAAGAUUUCGUGGCGUUAAAAUACGGAUUGCUUGUGCUUGUUCCUGUCGACGAUGUUCCUCUAAAGAAGCAUUGCUCUGGAUGUUUGGUUGCACGAGACGAGCGGGAGUAUUAAACGUCCGAGCCAGGGCUAUGCGGAACGGAGUAUCACAAAUGUGUAGGGCCGAUCAGCCAGCACGAUAAAGCACCCAAAGGGUUGAAAGUCGGACCAGGAACUGUUUCGAGCCUCGAGCCG